UUUAUGAGUCGAUUUUUCAUCUAUUUCCGUGAAUGUUUAUUGUAGAUCUGUGUGUAGUAGCAUAUAUAAGCUCGUAUUUAUGACUGUUUUUCCGUUUAUUGAAACUUCGAAUGAAUCAUUUCAAGUUACUGCCACAUGUGGGUUUAAUCCUUAAUCUGAUAACUGCUCUUCUACAUCGUAGUCCUUACUGAGUAUCGCCUAUAGCAGUGCUAUGAAACUGGAAACGCUAUUUCCCCUGCAAUGUUCUGACAGAGAAUCUGCUUGAAUUGCCUGCCAAGGUUAUUUCGUCACGAAUUCAAGUAUAGGCCCUAACGGAAAAAGCACAUCAGGAAUGAAGAUUGUCACGUUUUAUGAAUUUUCAAAUGUCCUGUUCGUAAAUACAAGUGCUCCGUUUCAGUGGGACUACCUCUAAAUUCUGUUGACCAUGAAGAUCCUGAAGCUGAUGUGGAUGUGCAACUGUGAAGAUGAAGGGAAAUCUUGCCAAUUCUUCAAAGUUCUAAAAUCAACUAGCCAACUGGAUGGCAAAUUGCGUUUUCUGUGUACUUGGAUGAUUUUGAUGGACUUGGAAACGUUGGACAGUCUAUUAAAGUAUCUAGUGCAUCUCCUCCCAUGCAGCUGACGGUGGCCUGUAGCUACGCCGGCAAGCCAACAAUCGCCUAAUUCUUCAAUCGAAGCAAUUUGAUUCCAAUGCCUGGCCAACAUCGGAUCUAAACGUUUCAAACAAAAUGAAUCGUUAGAAUCGGUCACUUAAGCAAAUGUUUGUAGUAGUUUAAAUGUGAAAUGUACCGCUAAAUAUCUUGUAGUUAGGAUUGUGAAUUAAGUCGAGCAUUCAAAGAACUUCAAUUGUAACAUAAUUACUCUAAAAUUUUCUUUAAAUCUUAAAGAUUAAGUACUUAAAAUCGCUCUACUAUAACCCUUAAGUACCGUUUACGUAGCACUAAUUUUUAAUACUCGAUAUGUUUUCAGGGACGGAACUUCUCUGGUUUAUAAUGACGAAACAGAAUGACUUCAAAAUUUUCUUAGGAGCAUUUUAAUAGCUUACAGAGCAAAACUUCAAAAUUUUCUUAGGAGCAUUUUAAUAGCUUACAGAGCAAAACUUCAAAAUUUUCUUAGGAGCAUUUUAAUAGCUUACAGAGCAAAACUUCAAAAUUUUCUUAGGAGCAUUUUAAUAGCUUACAGAGCAAAACUUCAAAAUUUUCUUAGGAGCAUUUUAAUAGCUUACAGAGCAAAACUUCAAAAUUUUCUUAGGAGCAUUUUAAUAGCUUACAGAGCAAAACUUCAAAAUUUUCUUAGGAGCAUUUUAAUAGC